CAGGGAGCUUUGGUUUAGCUAUGGCUCUUUCUGCACACACCUGUGCUGCUGCACGUAGGCCUGGAAAUUAUUUGCCUAAAUUUGACAGAAUUGGCUGUGUUUGUGUUAGGAAAGACCCUUCAGAGGAGCUGAUGCUGAGUACCCCCUUUAGCCUCAUACUAUGAUAGAUUUUAUUGCAAACCAAACUGAACCUGUUGCUUUGGAGUGAGUUUUUCCACUUUAUAAGCAGCCUGGAGGUGUUCAAAGAAGCAGCCCUUGGUUUGUAACCCUACACCCUCUUUGGGAGGGGGAUUUGUACUGGUUUUGGUGAACACCUGGGGAACAGCUUCUGUUGUAGCUUCCUCCAGAGGAGAUUUAUUUCACAUGUGUCAACACUGCUGCAGACCAAAAUGAUGGGAAUCCACUUCCCAUCCAUAUAAACCCAACCACCAUAAGUUAGACACAACUGGGAGUUUUUCCACAUGUGCCCUGCCCAUACUAACCAGAACAAAUCCACCUGCUCCCACCUUCCCUGUCCUUUGGCUGCCAAUGGGAAAAAGCAGAUUAAGAAAGCUUUGGCACCUCGAGUUGUACUGGAGGUGACAUGCAGGUGUCAUCUGAAGAGGUGGACACUGAAGAAGGAAUGAACAGUACUCCCUUUCUGGCAAGGCAGGCACAAUUUUUACUUCAGGAAUCUUAAUGCAAAUUGAAUGUCAGCAAUGGAUGCAACCUAAUGGGAUAUUCUCCUGAGCUUCCCAGAUCCACAGAUGUUUCCAUCUCCUGAUGUCACCAAAGGUUUUCUAAGAAGGAAAGGACACAGGUGAAAAAUUCUCAGAGCUACUGAAGUGGUUUCUUGCUAAAAAUGCUUUUAAAUUUAAUAAAAAACCUGGGUAUUAGGACUCUAAUGAGGGAAACUUCAUGGAAACUGAGAUGAGCUGCAAGUUGGUCACCAGCAGGUAAGCUGCAGAACUUCUCUCAGAAAUAGAAUGUGUACUCAUAAAAACAAGCACUAAUGGACUGUUGGGUGAGUGCAAUAGAUUAGAUGAGGAUGGACAACAGAAAAUAACUUGGUGAAGUUGAUGGGUGGAAGGAUUCCUACUGUUUCCCAUAUAAAUACUACAGAAAUUUUCUGUCCCAGCAAUUAUUAAAAUUAUACAUUAAAUCAAGAAAAAUGAAACCAGAAUACUGUUAAUAUCAGCAAUAUAUGCACAGCAAGAGAAGAUGUUGCCUUCAUCAGAAAGGAGCCUUUUGCUAUCAUCUUCUUAACUCCAGAUUUCCCAGAAGGACAAGUUGGACCUUCACAGGAGGAGAUCCUGGGCAGAGAUGACUGCAGCAGGCUUUAAAGGAAAUGGUCAGGGUGGCAAAUACUUGGCUGGACAGUGAUUUCUGCACCACAUCACCCUGGUGCCUUCUCUGUCUUUCCCAACACACCUCAGGAAGGGUAUGAGGGAGAAGAAACAUCUGCAUCAUGGGAAUCUGUGUCCCUGCCAGGGCUGUGACUUGGGACAGUGGUUCCCAUGCUGAAGGAGCAACGUGAGGAUGCCUUUGUAGGGACAGCUUUCAGCAAAUUGUUGCUGGUCCUGGCUGUGCCCUGAGGCACUUUGAAACCUGAAGUCAGAAGUGCAGAGGUGCCACAAAGACAACCUAUCCCCCUCCUGUCACCUUCCAUCCAAUACAGACUGUUUUUCCAAAAUAUAUCACUUGGAGGAAAAAAGCAAUUAACUUAAAAAGUCCUUAUGUAUGUAUCCAGAGAUGGACUAACUUCUGCACUAGAAUUUUUUUUUUGCAAUAGAAUUUCUGCCUUAGGAACUGGGCAAUAAUCUAAAUUGGUCCAACAUACAGCAGCAAAAUAAGGAGAGGAAAAAUGUACAUCUUUUUCCUCAGCAAAGACUCCAAGAACUCCAAGACACCGAUAACAUUUAACCUUCUCUCUUCUUCUGUAAAUAUCUGUCCCCUGAGGACCCUGACAAUAACUGAAACCCAAUUGUUCAGUCCAGCAGAGCUCUAGAGACAUCCUGCGGUUCUAGAAUUUUAACUGUGAAACAGGAUGGCAAUGUCUCAUUAUAAAAAUUCCCUGUGAUACCAUUCCUAAAUCAAGUUAGUAUGCAAGAAGAGUCUUGGAGCAGAAGAGAGGCUUUCCUGUUUUUCAUCCCCUCUGAUAUUGUCUGUGUGGGAGGCAGCUGUUGGAAGCCUGCAGGAACCUGAGAUUUUGACUGAAAGCCAUAAAAUUGUAGAAAUGCAUUCAAAAGUUUUGUACAGUUUCUAUUGGAAUCUGGGUUGCAAGUUUAUGGUGAAAACUGAAAGCUUCAUCUGCCUAUUAUCUUUUAUGAUAUGAUUUUUUUCCUGUGAAUAUUUUGGAACAUCUAAUUUGAAAUAUUAAAAUAUAUCUGUAAGAAAGAGGUGUAAAUACUUUUCUGGAAUCAACUCCCAUGCAAGAAAUUAAAUACAGAAAAGAAUUCUCUUCAACAUCUAUGCCUGCAUAUGUCUGUUUUCAUCCAGGGCUGCUGUUCAUUGCUAUUCAGAGGUGCUUUACACCUGUUUUAUCAUAUUGUGUUAAUUAAGAUGAUGUUUUCAUUAGUUUCAGUUCACAUAUUGUUGGAAUCUAGAUUUUUGAAGAGAGAUUUUAGCAGAUAAUGGAACGUGGGCAGCACAGUGGAGGCCACAGGGAGCUCAUUACCCUUUCCUCAACUCAUUGUGGUUUCAUCAGUCAUUAAUUCCACUCGAAGU